rnacentral:other from 1 species
UUUACCCUGCCGUGUGCGUGGAUCACGGUGAAGCUUGAGCCAACACCGUUAGAAAGGGAGCCUGGACUCCGUCGAGCGGAGUGCACGCCGCCAUAGGGCGGAAGCACAGAGGCCCGCGGGAGGGCACCCACCUGCUGAGCGCAGGUUCAAUGCCUUCCGGAUUCACGGCAUGGCGGGGUCUAU